AGGGCUAGCUACCGUGCCACGGAUAGAAGCGCGGCGCAGUUGGGUUGUUUUUGAUGAGGAACGAGGAGUCAUGGCAUGCUCAAUUUAGGUAUUUUGAUUAGUGCUCGACAGUUUCAUCUCUGGAAGACUUUACGACUUCAUGCGAACGUCGAACGAAUGUGUUAGCCUGAGACAAGACGGAUGUGUGGAUCCAUUGUGUUCGGAAGGCCGCGCUAGCUGCCUUGUCCGCAAUGCAGCCAUUUGCAGAUGGUUCCGUACGUACGAAAUCUACGAAAUUGCUACCUUCUGCCGCCUUUCUAAGGAGGCAAAUAAGGUGCUUCACAGCCCCUGUACACUCAAUCUGCAAAGUUUUUAAUAAAUGAAGUCCAAAUUCAA